rnacentral:rRNA from 1 species
GACGAACCGUCCUAACGUUAUUCGGAUUCACUGGGCUUAAAGGGCUCGUAGGCGGUUUACCAAGUCCGGGGUGAAAUCUUUCGGCUCAACCGGAAAAGUGCCUUGGAUACUGGUGAACUUGAGAGAGGUAGGGGCAUGUGGAAUUUCCGGUGGAGCGGUGAAAUGCGUUGAUAUCGGAAGGAACGCCGGUGGCGAAAGCGACGUGCUGGCCCUCUUCUGACGCUGAGGCGCGAAAGCUAGGGGAGCAAACGGG